GGAAAGAUGAAAAGAACUUUGAAAAGAGAGUUAAAAAGUACGUGAAAUUGUUGAAAGGGAAACGAUUGAAGUCAGUCGUGCUGGCGCGAAAUCAACCCUCUCGUCGAGAGGACACAUGGCGUGGCGAGCCUCAAAACCGUCACGAAGCGUGAACUCUUGGCGAAAAGGAGCACUUUCGUGUCCGCUGGUUAACAUCAAUUUCGAACGUCAUAAAAAGGCUGGAGGGAUGUGGCUCCUUCGGGAGUGUUAUAACCUUUAGCGGAAUGUGGUGGUCGGGAUUGAGGAUUGCAACGAAUACCUUUAGGGCUGUUCCACCUGGCUUCUCUUUGGUAUCCUGGUGACGACAGCUUGCUGACGUUGUUAGGAUUCGCCUUUGAACAGGCUAGAGUGUGAGCAAAUUCGUUAAGGAUGUUAACGUAAUGGCUUUAAACGACCCGUCUUGAAACACGGACCA
rnacentral:rRNA from 1 species